rnacentral:rRNA from 1 species
AAUAUUGGACAAUGGGCGAAAGCCUGAUCCAGCCAUGCCGCGUGUGUGAAGAAGGCCUUUUGGUUGUAAAGCACUUUAAGCGAGGAGGAGGCUACUUGGAUUAAUACUCUAGGAUAGUGGACGUUACUCGCAGAAUAAGCACCGGCUAACUCUGUGCCAGCAGCCGCGGUAAUACAGAGGGUGCGAGCGUUAAUCGGAUUUACUGGGCGUAAAGCGUGCGUAGGCGGCUUUUUAAGUCGGAUGUGAAAUCCCUGAGCUUAACUUAGGAAUUGCAUUCGAUACUGGGAAGCUAGAGUAUGGGAGAGGAUGGUAGAAUUCCAGGUGUAGCGGUGAAAUGCGUAGAGAUCUGGAGGAAUACCGAUGGCGAAGGCAGCCAUCUGGCCUAAUACUGACGCUGAGGUACGAAAGCAUGGGGAGCAAACAGGAUUAGAUACCCUGGUAGUCCAUGCCGUAAACGAUGUCUACUAGCCGUUGGGGCCUUUGAGGCUUUAGUGGCGCAGCUAACGCGAUAAGUAGACCGCCUGGGGAGUACGGUCGCAAGACUAAAACUUAAAUGAAUUGACGGGGGCAAGGGCGAAUUCUGCAGAUAUCCAUCACACUGGCGGCCGCUCGAGCAUGC